GAGGCGCGGGACCUGGGUGAUCUCUGCUCGGGGGCAGGGUAGGGCUGGUGAGGCACGCCUGAGCUUCUAAAGCUACUGACGGGGAGAGUCCCCCAGACAGUGAGCCCAAAGGACGGCUGGAUUGAAGAUCAGCGUGGUAGAAGGAAGUUCAGCUCUAAGAAGUAAAGGAGCCCCCAGAGCCACCGUUGGUAGCUGGCCUAAACGCCCUGAUACACAUAAGCGACGUCAUGGAAUUUUGAUGUCAGACGAGGUCUCUGACGAGAUGGAAGGGGACACGGGUUCGAGCCCUGGUGUGGGCGGAGCAAGUAAGUCCGUGCGCCAUGACUACUGAGCCCGCCUGCCACAACUACGGAAGCCCACAUGCCUAGAGCCCAUGCGCCACAGCAAGAGAAGCCACUGCAAUGAGAAGCCCGCUCAGCGCAAUGAAGAGUAGCCCCCGCUCGC